GUGUCAGCAGCCGCGGUAAUACGUAGGGGGCUAGCGUUGUCCGGAAUCAUUGGGCGUAAAGCGCGUGUAGGCGGCUCGGUAAGUCCGCUGUGAAAGUCGGGGGCUCAACCCUCGAAUGCCGGUGGAUACUGUCGAGCUCGAGUACGGAAGAGGCGAGUGGAAUUCCUGGUGUAGCGGUGAAAUGCGCAGAUAUCAGGAGGAACACCAAUAGCGAAGGCAGCUCGCUGGGACGUUACUGACGCUGAGACGCGAAAGCGUGGGGAGCAAACAGGAUUAAACCCCGGUAGUCC
rnacentral:rRNA from 1 species